UGGGAUCACACGGGGGCUUGGAGAACGA
rnacentral:piRNA from 1 species